rnacentral:rRNA from 1 species
AUGAACCGGCAAUGGAUGUACGGUGACAGACACACCUCUGAGUACAUUAAGGGCGUGCAUAAUUUUCUCGAAGUGGCUGAGGCAAACAAGCAGAAUGGUUUUAUAUGUUGUCCAUGCCCUAUAUGUGCGAAUACGAAGUCUUACUCUGACCGGAAAAUCCUUCACACCCACCUGCUUUAUAAGGGUUUCAUGCCACACUAUAAUGUUUGGACCAAGCACGGAGAAAUAGGGGUUAUGAUGGAAGAAAGCAAAGAAGAAGAGGACGAUGCCAACUAUGUGCCCCUUGAAUACGGUGAUGCUGCAACGGGGGAAGCUGAGGAUCAAGAGGAACCAGACGAUGUGCCCGAUGAUGAUCUCCGCCGGGUCAUUGUUGAUGCAAGAAGACAAUGCGGAAUUCAAAAGGAGAAGCUGAAGUUCGAUCGCAUGUUAGAGGAUCACGAAAAAGGGUUGUACCCCAAUUGCGAAGAUGGCAACACAAAGCUCGGUACCGUACUGGAAUUGCUGCAGUGGAAGGCAGAGAAUGCUGUGCUUGACAAAGGAUUUGAGAAGCUACUGAAAAUAUUGAAGAAGAGCUUCCAAAGGAUAACGAAUUGCCCGACAGUACGUACGCAGCAAAGAAGGUCGUAUGCCCUCUAG